GUACCAGCAGCCGCGGUAACACCGGCAGCCCAAGUGAUGGCCGAUAUUAUUGGGCCUAAAGCGUCCGUAGCUGGCUGCGCAAGUCCGUCGGGAAAUCCACUCGCCCAACGAGUGGGCGUCCGACGGAAACCGCACAGCUUGGGACCGGAAGGCUCGAAGGGUACGUUCGGGGUAGGAGUGAAAUCCCAUAAUCCCGCACGGACCACCGAUGGCGAAAGCACUUCGAGAAAACGGAUCCGACAGUGAGGGACGAAAGCCAGGGUCUCCAACCGGAUUAGAAACCCCAGUAGUCC
rnacentral:rRNA from 1 species